AAUCUGGAUGGAAUCAGCAAACAUGGAAUAUGACAACACCAGGGUCAGCCAGGAAAAGAUGGUGCGUGCAAACCUCAGUUGUCCUGUGUGUGGCAAUAGACAUCCUACCCAUCCUGUGGUUGGGCAGCCAGGGGUGGAAGGACUGUUUGCACCACAGCUUGGAACUCCACAAAUGAAAGCUCUUCCAGGCACUGAUCAACCCACAUUUUAAGAGGAACCUAGACUGUUCUGGAGGUCUCUUGGGGAUGAAGAACAUCUUUGCAGAGCAUCUUGUCAGCGUGGCUUUUAUCUCUCCGGUGACAUGGGGCACAACCUCAGCUCACCGUGAUGGAACUGUGCUCUGCCUUUCUGGAAACCCUGUCACAGCAGAAAAGAGGAAAAAGAAGAAGAAGAAGAAGAGGUGUUAUCACGGGAGAGGAAACCUGCAGUGGUCUGCCCCAGCCUAAGGAGCUCCUUCAAUAUAACCCAGAAAAGCUAAAUGGACCAGGACUUUGAAACUCUUUUGCACCUUCCCUAAAGGAAGAAGUUGAAAUCAUAAUACUGCCCAUUAGGGUGAU